AUUGAACGCUGGCGGCAUGCUUUACACAUGCAAGUCGAACGGCAGCGCGGGCUUCGGCCUGGCGGCGAGUGGCGAACGGGUGAGUAAUGCAUCGGAACGUGCCCAGUAGUGGGGGAUAGCCCGGCGAAAGCCGGAUUAAUACCGCAUACGACCUGAGGGUGAAAGCGGGGGACCGAAAGGCCUCGCGCUAUUGGAGCGGCCGAUGUCGGAUUAGCUAGUUGGUGGGGUAAAGGCUUACCAAGGCGACGAUCCGUAGCUGGUCUGAGAGGACGACCAGCCACACUGGGACUGAGACACGGCCCAGACUCCUACGGGAGGCAGCAGUGGGGGAUUUUGGACAAUGGGGGCAACCCUGAUCCAGCCAUGCCGCGUGCGGGAAGAAGGCCUUCGGGUUGUAAACCGCUUUUGUUCGGGAAGAAAUCCUCUGGGCUAAUACCCCGGGGGGAUGACGGUACCGGAAGAAUAAGCACCGGCUAACUACGUG
rnacentral:rRNA from 1 species